rnacentral:rRNA from 1 species
UACGGAGGGGGCGAGCGUUAUUCGGAAUUAUUGGGCGUAAAGGGCGCGUAGGCGGCUGUACAAGUCAAAGGUGAAAUCCCUCGGCUCAACUGAGGAACUGCCUUUGAAACUGUACGGCUUGAGGCCGGGAGGGGGUAGCGGAAUUCCCAGUGUAGCGGUGAGAUGCGUAGAUAUUGGGAGGAACACCAGUGGCGAAGGCGGCUACCUGGACCGGUUCUGACGCUGAGGCGCGAAAGCGUGGGUAGCAAACAGG